GUGAGGAAUAUUGCGCAAUGGAGGCAACUCUGACGCAGCCAUGCCGCGUGCAGGAAGAAGGCGCUACGCGUUGUAAACUGCUUUUAACCGGGAAGAAACCCCAGGACGUGUCCUGGGUUGACGGUACCGGGGGAAUAAGCCCCGGCUAACUUCGUGCCAGCGGCCGCGGCAAUACGAAGGGUGCAAGCGUUAUCCGGAUUCAUUGGGUUUAAAGGGUGCGUAGGCGGAGCGUUAAGUCAGUGGUGAAAUCCUGCAGCUUAACUGUAGACUUGCCAUUGAGACUGGCGCUCUUGAGUGCGCUGGAAGUGGGCGGAAUGUGCCGUGUAGCGGUGAAAUGCUUAGAUAUGGCACAGAACACCAAUUGCGAAGGCAGCUCACUAAGGCGAUACUGACGCUGAGGCACGAAAGCGUGGGGAUCGAACAGGAUUAGAAACCCGUGUAGUCC
rnacentral:rRNA from 1 species